rnacentral:lncRNA from 1 species
AUUGAAACAAAAACUGUAGAAAGCAGCGGAAGUAUUCGUUCGUACAUUUUUGCAGAAGCGAUUCGCGUCAGAACGCGACGAGGCUGGAUCGUAGAGGUUGAUUCGCGUGUCCUCAGAUCGUCCUUGAAGGUCUUCUAACGCUCCAAACUCACGGUGGAUCGAACUACAAACGAGCACGAUCGCAAAUCCACCGUUCAAGACCCUCUAGAAUAAUAGAUUAAUAGAGGAUGUGGUUUCUAUAUUUUUCUCUUAGUUUUUCUUGUUCUCUUUCUUAUUAAUUUUAUGUGAGAUCGCCCGCAUAGUUAUAAGGGAUUCCAAAAUCCUAAUAGGUGAGUAAGAGAUAAGGCCAAAUCGGUCAUUAACUAUUAUCCUAAUAUGAUUAGAAUUUAUCUCUAAUUAGAUUUCUAAUUUAAAAGCGAAAUUAAUCCUAAUUCAAUUAGACAACAUAAUAACCGUCGGAUCGAGCCCGAUCAUGGGCGCACCCGAUUCGAUUUAACCGAAUGCCAACAAAAACAAAUUUAGUUACUUGUGAUUUUCUUUUUCUUUGUUGUUACUUCUUAUUAAUCUUUGGGCCCAUACAAAUCUAUAAAAGGAGGAAUAUAUAUAUAUAUAUAUAUAUAUAUAUAUAUAUAUAUUUGUCACAAGAACCUCAUGAAGUGCAUUAAAGCUAGCUGGGUAUCAGAACCUAGUCAAAGAUGGAUUAAUUAUAGGGUGGUUUUACAAAAAGAAAAAACUAAAUUAAUAUGGAAAAUGAAUAUGAAUAAAAUCAAAGGAGAAAAAAAAUUGAGAGAAUAAUAUCAUUACAUGUUUAAAUUAACUGCGCCUUUUAGUGAAGCUUUAAGUGAAGCAUUUCUUUCAUGGAAAGAUGCCUCACCAUUUGUGAAGUUCUUUUUUUUUUUCUUUUUUCUUUUUUUACUUGGCUAUAAAGAUAAGUUUGCUAUAAGGUGAUAAGAUACUUACGAGCACUAUUCUUCUUUUGUUUGUUACAAAAAACACAUUUAUGACUAUGAGCAAAUCUAAUCAAGCAUUCCAAUUGAAACAAAAACUGUAGAAAGCAGCGGAAGUAUUCGUUCGUACAUUUUUGCAGAAGCGAUUCGCGUUAGAACGCGACGAGGCUGGAUCGUAGAGGUUGAUUCGCGUGUCCUCAGAUCGUCCUUGAAGGUCUUCUAACGCUCCAAACUCACGGUGGAUCGAACUACAAACGAGCACGAUCGCAAAUCCACCGUUCAAGACCCUCUAGAAUAAUAGAUUAAUAGAGGAUGUGGUUUCUAUAUUUUUCUCUUAGUUUUUCUUGUUCUCUUUCUUAUUAAUUUUAUGUGAGAUCGCCCGCAUAGUUAUAAGGGAUUCCAAAAUCCUAAUAGGUGAGUAAGAGAUAAGGCCAAAUCGGUCAUUAACUAUUAUCCUAAUAUGAUUAGAAUUUAUCUCUAAUUAGAUUUCUAAUUUAAAAGCGAAAUUAAUCCUAAUUCAAUUAGACAACAUAAUAACCGUCGGAUCGAGCCCGAUCAUGGGCGCACCCGAUUCGAUUUAACCGAAUGCCAACAAAAACAAAUUUAGUUA